rnacentral:rRNA from 1 species
UACGAAGGGGGCUAGCGUUGCUCGGAAUUGCUGGGCGUAAAGCGCACGUAGGCGGUCUUUUAAGUCGGUGGUGAAAUCCUGGAGCUCAACUCCAGAACUGCCUUCGAUACUGGAAGACUUGAGUCCGGGAGAGGUGAGUGGAACUGCGAGUGUAGAGGUGAAAUUCGUAGAUAUUCGCAAGAACACCAGUGGCGAAGGCGGCUCACUGGCCCGGUACUGACGCUGAGGUGCGAAAGCGUGGGGAGCAAACAGG